rnacentral:misc_RNA from 1 species
GAUGAAGAACGCAGCGAAAUGCGAUACUUGGUGUGAAUUGCAGAAUCCCGUGAACCAUCGAGUCUUUGAACGCAAGUUGCGCCCGAAGCCACUAGGCCGAGGGCACGCCUGCCUGGGCGUCACACGCCGUUGCCCCCCCAUCUACCCCUUCGGGAUUGCGGGGGGGCGGAUGAUGGCCUCCUGUGCGCCUAGCCGCGCGGUUGGCAUAAAUACCAAGUCCUCGGCGACGCACGCCACGACAAUCGGUGGUUGCGAAACCUCGGUUGCCCGUCGUGUGCGUUCGUCGCGCAUCGAGGGCUCGAAAAAAUGCUCGGCUCCGGCUGGGCUUUCAACGCGACCCCAGGUCAGGCGGGGUUACCCGCUGAAUUUAAGCAUAUCAAUAAGCGGAGGA